UCCCUGGUUACCAAACAAGUAGUUAAAAAUGCAUAUGAAAGACGUUAGAGCAAAGGACUGCUAAUCUUAUCACACACAUCAAUACAUAAUUUAAUUGGGUGGUGUGGCUAUGAAUUAGCCGUCAGCGAGGUGAGGUUUGGCAGGGAGUGAAUUAGCCGUCAGUGAGGUGAGGUUUGGCAGGGAGUUGAGCGAAGAAUUUAUGGAUUUUUGCACUUGAGAAGCUUACUUAGUGUUCAGAUGAACUUGAGCUUUUGAGUGCAGGUGCAGUUCCAAAAGGGCUUCCUUUUACGCUCAACUGCUUGUGGCACCUACAUUUAGGUGUAGACUUAGGCCAAAUCGGUCAGACUUAUUAUGCUCUCGAGUUGAUUAAAAGUUUCCCUAAUUUGAGUAAACUUGAGAUUUGGGUCCAGGGUAGCGGCGACAAUGCUGAAGCAGAUUUGAAAUAUAUGGACACACCAACCUACUUGGACCGACCGCUCAACAAGCUCGAAGAUGUACUAUGCAUUAUUUUAAGGGUUCAAAAAAUGAACUGUUUUUCAUAAAGCUAUUGCUUGCUCGUACUCCAUCUUUGGUUAGGAUGGAUAUUAAGCAGAAGAAAGCCUUAGGGACUAGGGAAGAAAGGAAUAUCACCAAAGAGUUGAUGCGUUUCCCCAGAGCAUCUCCCAAGGCUGAGCUAUUCUAUUCGACAAAUGAGGAUUAGGAUUUUAAGUCAGUUGAUUUGCGAUUUGAUGCUAUUAAUGCUCAUUGAUUCCUUCUUUGUUCAAAAUGAGUUUUGUUAAAGAAGGGAAUGAAUUGGCAGAUCUAGAAUUAGUAAAACUUGUGGGGUUGAUAUGUUUAGUAGAUGUUUAAUUUGAAGGUUCAGUCUAUGUGUGUGAUAAAAACAAAAAUGUUUCUUUUCAGUUCCUUAGUUAAUUUGGAAAAGAUCUCUGCAAUUGUUUGUGUACAUUAAUACAUAAAUAACCUUGUUUGGGAAUUUACCAUUUUGCUUCUACUGUAUGUAUUUGUUUAGAGGCUAGAAAAGCUUAGGCAUAGAACCUUAAUUUCCUGGGUGAAAUUGUUGUUUUCAGUUACACUGUUCUUCGGUUGAUUCAUAAAGUCUUACCUAUUCUUGUGUCUGAAUUUAAUAGAUAUUUUUCAAAAAAGAUAAGAGGAUGGUUGUCAAAGGACUUAUAUUUGCUGUUACAGAUGAUAUAUUAUUAGAUAAAUAUUUCCUUGUUCUUCAUAAUCCCUUUCUGAUACAGAUAUCAAAUACUGCACGUGGACAGCGUCAAUUUGUGCAUUAGUUGGACAAGCAAGAAUUAUGCUUUUAUCUGUUCCCUUUCUGAUCUGUGAUUUGAAGCUUGCAAGGAAGAUUUAUGCUUUUGUCUGUUAUUAAUGAGUUUUAUUAAAGAAGGGGAUGAAUUGGCAAAUUUUGUAAAUAUGUACUGCGCUGCACUAGAUGUUUUGGAAGUUCACGUCU